rnacentral:misc_RNA from 1 species
UUAACUAUUAUAUAGUACUCAGACGACAUGUAUAAACAGAGUUUGGGUCCUCUGGCGCGCACUCACCAGCGUGAGCCGGUGGCCGGAGCGGCGCGCCAAAGCAACAAAGGUAUAAUUAACAUAGGGUUGGAGAGUCACCCUUGCGGGCGAAGUUCUCUGUAAUGAUCCCUCCGCAGGUUCACCUACGGAGA